AUUGAACGCUGGCGGCAUGCCAUACACAUGCAAGUCGAACGGCAGCACGGGUGCUUACACCUGGUGGCGAGUGGCGAACGGGUGAGUAAUACAUCGGAACGUACCUUAUCGUGGGGGAUAACGCAGCGAAAGCUGUGCUAAUACCGCAUACGCCCUGAGGGGGAAAGCGGGGGAUCGAAAGACCUCGCGCGAUUAGAGCGGCCGAUGCCUGAUUAGCUUGUUGGUGGGGUAAAAGCCCACCAAGGCGACGAUCAGUAGCUGGUCUGAGAGGACGAUCAGCCACACGGGGACUGAGACACGGCCCAGACUCCUGCGGGAGGCAGCAGUGGGGAAUUUUGGACAAUGGGGGCAACCCUGAUCCAGCAAUGCCGCGUGAGUGAAGAGGGCCUUCGGGUUGUAAAGCUCUUUUGUCAGGGAAGAAACACCGGCUCUAACACAGUCCGGGAAUGACGGUACCUGAAGAAUAAGCACCGGCUAACUACGUGCCAGCCGCCGCGGUAA
rnacentral:rRNA from 1 species